AACGAACGCUGGCGGCAUGCCUAACACAUGCAAGUCGAGCGAAGUCUUCGGACUUAGUGGCGCACGGGUGCGUAACGCGUGGGAAUCUGCCCUUGGGUGCGGAAUAACUUCUCGAAAGGGAUGCUAAUACCGCAUAAUGUCGUAAGACCAAAGAUUUAUCGCCCAAGGAUGAGCCCGCGUAAGAUUAGCUAGUUGGUGGGGUAAAAGCCUACCAAGGCGACGAUCUUUGGCUGGUCUGAGAGGAUGAUCAGCCACACUGGGACUGAGACACGGCCCAGACUCCUACGGGAGGCAGCAGUGGGGAAUAUUGGACAAUGGGCGAAAGCCUGAUCCAGCAAUGCCGCGUGAGUGAUGAAGGCCCUAGGGUUGUAAAGACUCUUUUACCUAGGGAUGAUAAUGACAGUA
rnacentral:rRNA from 1 species